AUUGAACGCUGGCGGCAGGCCUAACACAUGCAAGUCGAGCGAGCGGCGGACGGGUGAGUAAUGUCUGGGGACUGCCCGGUAGAGGGGGAUAACUACUGGAAACUGUGGCUAAUACCGCAUACUACCGGAUAACCCAUAUGGGAUUAGCUAGUAGGUGGGGUAAAGGGUCACUGAGGCGACGAUCUCUAGCUGGUCUGAGAGGAUGACGAGGCACAGUGGGGAGGAGAAACGGCCGAGACGGGUACGGAGACAGCAGGGGGGAUUAUGGGAUAAGGGGCGGAAGCCUGUUGCACACAUGCCGCGAGGAUGAAGAAGGCACGAGGGUUGUAAAGUAAUUUCAUCGGGGAGGCGUUACCCGCAGAAGAAGCACCGGCUAACUCCGUGCCAGCCGCCGCGGUAAUAC
rnacentral:rRNA from 1 species